GUGCUCACUUCGGCAGCACAUAUUGGAAAAUUGGAAGGAUACGGAGAAGAUUAGCAUGGUCCCUGAGCAAGGAUUAUAUGCAAAUUUGUGAAGUAUUCCAUAUUUUU